rnacentral:rRNA from 1 species
GUACACACCGCCCGUCGCUGCUACCGAUUGAAUAAUCCGGUGAACUCGUCGGAUUGUUUUAUUAAUUUUUUUGAAAAAGUAAAUUUUAAAAUAAAAAGUUGAGUAAACCAUGUUAUUUAGAGGAAGCAAAAGUCGUAACAAGGUUUCCGUAGGUGAACCUGCAGAAGGAUCA